rnacentral:lncRNA from 1 species
UUAACUAAUUUACAUAUAAAAUAAGUUUAUUUUAAACGUUCUGAUUAACAAAUUAGUUCCUGACAAUAAUAGAAACAAUAUUUGUUUAACGUUAUAACAAGUAAUUUCUAAGAUAAGAUGGAUUUAUUGCAAUCAAUCUUGCUAUAUUAUCCUUUACAUGUUAUUAUCAGGAUUAUGAGAUGGAACUGGGGGAUUGAAAGCCAUUUCUGCCAUGUCAAAGUCUCUACAAAGUUCUUCUGGAGUGCUGAAAGUAAAUAAAAACAAGUUUUAAAAUG